GAAGAAGGGAGAGGGCGGCCGCUGGUGGCUGGGGAAUGCGGAGGAUCCCCGGAAAAACGAAGCGCGAGAGAAGGGUUGGGAGGAAGGAAGGAGGGAGAUGCGCCCGCCCCUCGCGGUCGCCUACCGACCGCUCCGCUGCGCCUGCUGCCUGCGUCGGGUGGCCCUUCCCCGGCAGCCUGGCAUCGCGCCUGGCCCAAGCCGGAGCCCCACGCACCUUCCGGACCAGCCCCGACCCAGGCUCCCCUUGGAGCCUGCUGGUGUUUCAUGGAGUGGAAGGGACUUGAAGCCAGAGCUGCAUCUUGGACCCCUGAUCAGUUGUUUCAACAGGAAACUUUUUCGGAACAAGGAUGUGAGGGGAGGAAGGUGAUGGAAGGGAGGACCUAGUCCUCUCUCUGCUUCAUCCUGCCUCCUCCGAGUGCACAGCCUCCCCUUGGAGAACACAGCGGCUCACCAUCCCGCCAGUGUGUGCCAUUUGUCCUCAUUACCAGAAUCCUGGCACACAGGAGGCACCCGAUAAAACGGUUUUGCACAGAGUCAAACUAAAUCUGACUAUGCUUGCUGGCUGAACUCUUGAGAUGUUGCCCCACAUUGAAGAAAGGUAAAAAUAUCCCCGGAUCGGAUCAUGGCUGUAUCUCCUGGAGAGAACUCAGACCUGGAGCUGUUUUCCUCACACAACGGAUCCCCUGGAGGGCGUCCUAAACCAGAUUCCCGAGGUGUCCCCAGCGUUUGAGUCAGUGAGCCUCCGGUGGGCCUAAGAAUUUGCGUUUCUCUCGGGGUUCCAGGCUGAUAAUCUCCAUGGCUGAUCUGAGAAUGCUCGCCUCAGUGAAUCCCAGCCCCUGGCCUCAAUAUUCAUCACGAAGACCUGGUUGGCCCCAGUUUUAUAUAGGAGGAGGGAAGCUAGGAGCGUCUUAGAGCGUCUCACUUUUACAUAAACCCUCAGCCACGCAAGGUAAAGGCAAUGUCAAUCUAGGACUGAU